rnacentral:lncRNA from 1 species
AAUAACUGGGCUUAAGCAUUUUGGGCUAUUGACUGGGCCCAACAAGUUAUUAUUGCUAGUGGGCUGGGUCGUUACAUUUGGUAUCAAAGCCGGUUCACUAGUUGGACAUGUGUGGCGAGUCUCGGCUGAGCCAGGGUCUGGAUGACGGGCUAGCGAGACAAGUCUCACAUCGCCUGGUGAUCUUGGGCUCUGUGUGAUUGGACUGACGAGGACGUCAGGGUCUUAACGGGGGGAGUCUGUGACACCCGAAUAGUCCCACAUCGGAUGGGAAUGGGGUUAUUAUUGGGUUUACAAGAGACUUAGACACUAGUAAUAAUAACUGGGCUUAAGCAUUUUGGGCUGUUGGCUGGGCCCAACAAGUUAUUAU